GACGAACGCUGGCGGCGUGCUUAACACAUGCAAGUCGAACGGACAGGCCCUGCUUUUGUUGGGUUCUCGAGUGGCGCACGGGUGAGUAACACGUGAGUAACCUGCCCUUGACUUUCGGAUAACUUCACGAAACUGGGGCUAUUACCGGAUAGGAGCUCCUGCUGCAUGGUGUGGGUUGGUAAGUUUCGGCGGUUGGGGCUGGACUCGCGGCUUAUCAGCUUGUUGGUGGGGUAGUGGCCUACCAAGGCUUUGACGGGUAGCCGGCCUGAGAGGGUGACCGGCCACAUUGGGACUGAGAUACGGCCCAGACGCCUACGGGAGGCAGCAGUGGGGAAUAUUGCACAAUGGGCGGAAGCCAGAUGCAGCAACGCCGCGUGCGGGAUGACGGCCUUCGGGUUGUAAACCGCUGUCGCCUGUGACGAAGCGUGAGUGACGGUAAUGGGUAAAGAAGCACCGGCUAACUACGUG
rnacentral:rRNA from 1 species